rnacentral:rRNA from 1 species
CAGUCGCCACGGUAAUACGGAGGGUGCAAGCGUUGUCCGGAUUUAUUGGGUUUAAAGGGUGCGUAGGCGGCCUAAUAAGUCAGUGGUGAAAGCCUCCAGCUUAACUGGAGAACUGCCAUUGAUACUGUUAGGCUUGAGUAUACUUGAGGUAGGCGGAAUUGACAGUGUAGCGGUGAAAUGCAUAGAUAUUGUCAAGAACACCAACUGCGAAGGCAGCUUACUAAAUUAUAACUGACGCUGAGGCACGAAAGUGUGGGUAUCAAACAGGAUUAGAUACCCCCGUAGUCCCUGUCUCUUAUAC